GAUGAACGCUGGCGGCGUGCCUAAUACAUGCAAGUCGAGCGAACAGACGAGGAGCUUGCUCCUCUGACGUUAGCGGCGGACGGGUGAGUAACACGUGGAUAACCUACCUAUAAGACGGGGAUAACUACGGGAAACCGGAGCUAAUACCGGAUAAUAUAUUGAACCGCAUGGAUCAAUAGUGAAAGACGGUUUUGCUGUCACUUAUAGAUGGAUCCGCGCCGCAUUAGCUAGUUGGUAAGGUAACGGCUUACCAAGGCAACGAUGCGUAGCCGACCUGAGAGGGUGAUCGGCCACACUGGAACUGAGACACGGUCCAGACUCCUACGGGAGGCAGCAGUAGGGAAUCUUCCGCAAUGGGCGAAAGCCUGACGGAGCAACGCCGCGUGGGUGAUGAAGGUCUUCGGAUCGUAAAGCUCUGUUAUUAGGGAAGAACAAAUGUGUAAGUAACUAUGCACGUCUUGACGGUACCUAAUCAGAAAGCCCCGGCUAACUACGUG
rnacentral:rRNA from 1 species